rnacentral:rRNA from 1 species
GGUUGAUCCUGCCAGUAGUCAUAUGCUUGUCUCAAAGAUUAAGCCAUGCAUGUCUAAGUAUAAACAACUUUAUACUGUGAAACUGCGUACAGCUCAUUAAAUCAGUAAUAAUUUAUUUGAUGGUCUCUUCUACAUGGAUAACCGUAGUAAUUCUAGAGCUAAUACAUGCGUAAAGUCCCGACUCGCGAGGGGAGGGAUGUAUUUAUUAGUUAAAAAACCAAUGCGGGCCUCUGGUCCGGUAUCUUGGUGAGUCAUAGUAACUGUCUCGAAGCGCAUGGUCUCGUACCGGCG